GACUGGACGUGGACGAGCCGUCAGCCGUUUGCCCAUUUCAAAUGGCCCAUUUGAUUGAUGAAAACUAAAGUUGGCAACGCUGGGCUGUCAAUCAAACAUGAAAGAGCUGGAAAGAGUUGGAUGUACAAAACUGAAAGGGAUUCUCUGCCAGCAGGCACAAAAAUAGACUUUUUUAGAUUUAUAACUGAUUCUGUUUGACUUUAAGGUCAGAUAAUCUGAUCUUAAUGAACAACCCGUAAAAAAUGCAUUUGUGAAUGGGCUAGUUUGUUUAACGCAUUCAUUUCUUUCAUACUCUUUGCAAAUGAAAUACGACUUCAUCUUUAUUCAUUUCUAUUGGAUUGAUAAUGAAAAAAAAUGUCUCAAUUUAUAAAUGUCUGUGUUUUUUAAAUAUUUCAUUCUAGGGUGGGCAGACGAAACCCAGUACACAUUUGAAUAGUGGAAGGAUGGUGAAUCUUGUGCAGGGUCAACUUAAGGAAAAAUCAAUUGUCUGAGACGUGGAGUGGGAAUAAGCCAUUUAAUGUGCAGGAUUGACCAUUGUGUUGAAGAAAGUUAUAGCAGAAAAGACUUCAAUGGUAUCAUGAAGAAAACAUUUAGGAAGAGAUGGUAUCUGCACAAGAUGCAUGUGUUAUUAAGCUCAAUUUGGUUGAAACAUUCACCUUAAACCUCCAGUGCUUUUUAGUAGCUGGGAUAACCAAGAAGCAGAAAAAACAAAAUUGAAAAUUGGCUUGAAGCUGAAUCUCACAAUGGGGACCUCAGAUAUAAAGCGACUGGUGCAAACGAGGUCCCGAUCAGACGGUGGCCAGUCCUCGACAAAACUACAUUAGAAUUUGCUAAAAUCUUUCUUUUAAAUUCACUGUUUGUGAUUCUGGACGUUAAAUUGUGACUAGGGUUUGUUUCGUUUGAUCUUUCAUUCGUUAUUGAAGAAAAUAAUAACGGGACAAAGGACAAAAGAAAUUGGGUGGGCGAGUUUUCGCAAGUGGAAGCUCAUCCAGGCAAUUUCUUUGUUCUUUGUCGAUUAAUGUAUUCUUCAAAACGUGAUCGAUAAAUAGUUAAAUUUGAAUCGAGAAGAGAUGUAUUGAAAUCGCUGUUCCAAGCUGGAAUGCACAUCAACAUUUGCAAUUAGGGAAUUCGUCUAUAGACGCUCAACAUUCGUAGCUAUUGGGUCAAGUCUUCCUCUAGGAAAACGCCGGUGAAAUGAGUGAAGCGACGGCCGUACAGCAACACCUUGUCCGACAUUUCCGAAAUCUCCACCCAGACUUGAUCGUUUUUGAUCAAACCGAGCGUCGAUUCGAGCGCAAACGUUUCGAACGUACCGCCCGUGUUGGUCGCGUGCGAAUAGCCAGAGCCGAUCCAAUUGCCGUUUUUGAUCAAACUGAUUUGAAAGCGAUAGGAAGGCACCACGGGAGUCUCGUUGUACAGUCCGGCCGUCAGUUGCGUGUACGGGAAAUAGGCCACUCCCGAAAUGGAGAAACUGUACUUGCCCGCACGAGGGGCCACGAACUUGCCCGUUUGCAAAUUCAUGGCUCCCCCGAUGUUCAAUUGCUCCACGUCGAACGGAAUGGGGAUGUUGGUUUCCAUGAACGGACUGCUCCUCGUCACGUAGAAAUAAGUGGACGCCGAUUUCACGUCGACGUAGCCGAUCCAUUUUUGCAUCUCUGUUUUUCAUUGUUUAAAAUUGGCUUAUUUUUAUCAAUUGAGAGAUUGGUGUGAUUGCGAAUUAUACCUUUAGCAUUGGGGUGAAAAUUGCAGUAAACUGUUUCCACGGAUCGAGUUCCCAUAACGGAAUACAAUCCGCUUAUUCGAUGUCCGAUGUGUUGCAAAUCCGAACAUGAUGUCGGCAUUUUUCCAAUGUCCGUCACGGCGCUCGUUCUCUCUUGUUUUUGGGUUUCACAGUUUCAAAAAUGAAUAAAGAACAACACCAUAAAAUGUAGAUCGUCAGACUUACCGCUUAACUUGAUGGCUAAAUCGUCCACGAUGGCUUUUGUUUCUGCAAAAUCAAAGCGAAAUGUUGCAUGCUAAUUCGUCAUCGUAAACUUUCUUAAUUGAACGCCGAGUCACGAGAAUACCGUGCAACUUGAUCUCCACCUCGUCGCCGUGCCGCUCGUUUUGCAACGCAAUCACAAUCGCGUUUUGCUGUUGGAUUUUCGAUUCGAGGCCAAUCACUUUCGUUUCUAAACGGACGAUUUUUGCUUCCAAAACUUCUUUGAUUUCAGCCUUCUCGCCCCGCCCCAAAACAAAAAUUCAAUUGUCGGGGGUGUUAUUUCGAAUGACAAAUUUAUGAUUGACUUACGUAGUUUUUCGCCAAUUGUUGCACCGUGUCUUCGAAGGAUUGGCCGUUCGCGUUGGUGUAAAUUGUGCAAGCCAAAAAGAGCCAAAACAAAUUAAUCAACGCAUCCAAAUGACGGGCCAUCUUUUCGCUGUUCAGCAAAGCGCACUGUUGCAAUCCUUUCUAGAUGACGAUCACUGUCCAAUUGUCGUUGUACUCACCGGAAUACGUCAAUACGCCACACUGACGGCCAGGGGGAGGGUUUUGAAAUACGUCAAGUUUCUUGUUUUCAAACGUACCAUGUAACUGAAAGCGGCUAGAAUUUUGGAUUUCCCAGUCUGUUCCCAGCACUUCUUUUUUAUUCACGUGUACCUCCGCCCCUUCUCUCAAAGAGCUGUGCUGCACGUCUUUUUUUUUUGUGUGGAAGGUUCAGGUAUACAACUCAAUUCAUCACCUGGUAUCGAAAGUUGUUGUAAAACUUUAUGGCCAUCUGGGAGGGGACGCUCGCGCUUGGUCGUUUGAUCAAUGAUGGAUGUUUGGAAAGAGUGAGCGACACACGUCACGAACGCUUUUGGGGGUUCUAGUUUUCCAAAGGAGGGGGGGGGAGAGUUAUUAAGAGGCCGAGUAUUAUGUUGUGGUGUUCGUUGUGCAUUAAGAAUCAUGCAAUAAUUUCAUGAUUUUGCAAUCAUCGUUGGUGAUGAGGGAAAAGACGCAAGAAAUUAAGGGGAAGGGGAUCAUUUUGCAUAUUUGAUGUUGUAUGUGUACUUGAAUGGAUUAUAGAGAAGCGAGCCGUGCUUAUAACUAACACGUUUGGUUUUGAUGUUGGAAUUGAUUUGAAUUAGCGAUUCAUCACGAAUGAGUAAGUGCCUUUUAAAGUUGUGUUUACUGUGUUUGUAUAGAUUUUUUUUUUAAAUAUUUUAUUCUUUAAAAUUGCAGUUUUUUGGUCUGCGUUCAAUAAGUAGGUUACCUUUGGGGGGGGGGGACAUUCACGAGACUUUGGUCAUGCGUGUGACAUAGGUUGGGCUUUAUCGAAAGCACCAACUGUUGUAUGGUAAUGACUCGCUUUUUGUGCAUUAAUUCUUUGCUUAGACCCAAACAAUUAAACUUUGCCUUUCGGUCUUUCAUUUGGCUUUCAAGUGUCAGGGCUAAACUAUAGACCCACUUACUCGGAUCGCUCGUUUGCUUUGUUAAGUCCCAAAAAACUGUUUUCACUGAUUGAUUCCGCUAAUAGUUUGUCUCGUACAACUGAGAUCUUCGCAGGAACGUGGGAUUUUUGGAUUUCCGGGUGUUUGACUGGAUCCUGACGUCGUUUCAAUUGAUCUGCCAGCAAUUAUUAUCUGAUUUCUCAGAGCUUUGGCUUUGGCUACGCAGAUUUAUGUUUUCCUGUUUCAGUAUGUCCAGGAGGACAUUCUUUCUCUGAAGAGCCGACUUCAUUUUGAUCCACAAACUAAAUGAAAAAAGUUGUCUCUUAGCUGUUCCAGUUGCUCUUCUCCGAUAAAAACUAGCCAUCACACAAGACAAUCACAAAGCCAAAAUAAAUGGGAUGACAGUGAUGCAUCACGCCAUGUUGUAUGACUCCAUUGGAUUACGACUGCCUUUUUAUUACGGUGUCAUCGAACGAUACAAGUUGUUUCCCCAAGUUCACGAACCAGUGCAUUUCUACAUAGGACUCUAACCAAUCGAUUUUACCAUCAUUUAUCGAUUGGGUAGUUGUUUUCAUCCUUUCUACAGAUUGUUCUGCACGUGAAGCAAAUCGAGACCAUCGACAUUUCUUCUGUUUUUUAUUUGCUUCACGUGCUGAACAUUUGCGAAAUCGGAUGUUCCAAAAUAAUAGGGACUGAAAUUCUAAAAAUUAAAAGGUGAAAAGGGUUUUGGACAUUCAAUGGAAUUGGACCACAAAACUUCCAGCAAUCCUAGGGAAAGUCCCUUGAAUGAAUCCCUGUUAAAAAAUCAACCAUAUGAAACUUAAUUAACGAUUGAGGCUGGAAAAUAUUAGAUAUAUUUUGAAAUAAAUAUAGUAACAAGUCUUAACAAUUCAUUAAUUGGAAUGCUAGCAGCUGGAACCAGGAAACAAUGGAUUCAUGUUAUAAAGUUAAAACACCUUGUAAUUUCAUUUGAUUUGCAAAUCCUAGAACAAAAGUCUGUUCAUUUGAUUUUUAUAGUUGUUUCUACAAAGCUUUUAUCUUAAAGAUCUGUCUUCUUUUAAAUUGUUGAAUAAAUCACAGGAUUGGUGAUGUUUUUACAUGAAAAACCAUAUUCAUAGCACUUAAUAUGCACCUUUCAUAACAAUUAUUCUUCUAAGCAAAUAAUACAAACACACCUUGACAUCA
rnacentral:lncRNA from 1 species